rnacentral:tRNA from 1 species
GCGGGUAUAGUUUACUGGUAAAAUUCCUCCUUGCCAAGGAGAAGACGCGGGUUCGAUUCCCGCUACCCGC